GCCCACGUAGCUCAGAGGACAGAGCACCGGCCCCCGAAGCCGGAAGCCGCCAGUUCGAACCUGGCCAUGGGCG
rnacentral:tRNA from 1 species